rnacentral:rRNA from 1 species
AGCUCCAAUAGCGUAUAUUAAAGUUGUUGCAGUUAAAACGCUCGUAGUCGGAUUUCGGGGCGGGCCGACCGGUCUGCCGAUGGGUAUGCACUGGCCGGCGCGUCCUUCCUUCCGGAGACCGCGCCUACUCUUAGCUGAGCGGGCGCGGGAGACGGAUCGUUUACUUUGAAAAAAUCAGAGUGUUUCAAGCAGGCAGCUCGCUCUUGCAUGGAUUAGCAUGGGAUAAUGAAAUAGGACUUUGGUGCUAUUUUGUUGGUUUCGAACACCGAAGUAAUGAUUAACAGGGACAGUCAGGGGCACUCGUAUUCCGCCGAGAGAGGUGAAAUUCUCAGACCAGCGGAAGACGAACCACUGCGAAAGCAUUUGCCAGGGAUGUUUUCACUG